rnacentral:lncRNA from 1 species
AUAACACAAUAACAAGAAACACAAACAGAGAAACACAUAUUCUAAUAUCAUAGAUAACUCUCAGUCAUAGAACCAUAAAGGAAUUGAAGCAAAAAAAAAGUUUUAAGGGAAUCAAACCCUAAAGGGACUGAGAAGAAGCACAAACUACUUGAUGGAGCGCCUUUGGAGUUGAAGUUAGACAAAGCUAUGAUUGUUGUAAAUCCGAGUGUCCUGCAGCUAUAUGAAUGGUGUGCCAUCCUCCAGGUGUCCACUCCCCGUUGCGAGCAUCAAAUGGGAGUGGGGCCAAACUCGACUUCUUUCGGAAAUAGUUGGGCAGUGAAGACCGUGAAACAAACAAGAAGUUAUAAAACGGGAAAAGAAAAUCCAAGCAUGAAGAAGAAGAAAAUGACUAACAUUGGGUAGUGCGGGAAGAGACAACGAUGGGUAGUCAUAGAGACC